AGAGCUUUAAGUUAAAAUAAACUAUACGUCUUCAAAACGUAAAAUAAUUAAGCUUUU
rnacentral:tRNA from 1 species